rnacentral:lncRNA from 1 species
AAGAAAGUACUUUUUUAAGGUAAAUGUUUAAUGCUUUCUACAACAUAGCAUGAAUAUGAAACUUAUGCUUUGUAAAAAUAUUACGCCAUUCAUAAUUCAGGGACAAACCUUUAUGGUUAACCCCCUCCUUUCUUGGUUUAAAUACCAUUUCCUUACCAUGUUAUACCUAGUGAUUUAGUAAGAUCCUCGUCACGUGAGUCUCCGACUUUGAUGAGUUCCUGCUUUUCUUCCUUACCAUGUUAUUCC